CCUACGGGGUGCAGCAGUGGGGAAUAUUGGACAAUGGGCGAAAGCCUGAUCCAGCCAUGCCGCGUGUGUGAAGAAGGCCUUCGGGUUGUAAAGCACUUUCAGUGGGGAAGAAAGCCUUGGGGCUAAUACCCUCGAGGAAGGACAUCACCCACAGAAGAAGCACCGGCUAACUCCGUGCCAGCAGCCGCGGUAAUACGGAGGGUGCGAGCGUUAAUCGGAAUUACUGGGCGUAAAGCGCGCGUAGGCGGUCUGAUAAGCCGGUUGUGAAAGCCCCGGGCUCAACCUGGGAACGGCAUCCGGAACUGUCAGGCUAGAGUGCAGGAGAGGAAGGUAGAAUUCCCGGUGUAGCGGUGAAAUGCGUAGAGAUCGGGAGGAAUACCAGUGGCGAAGGCGGCCUUCUGGACUGACACUGACGCUGAGGUGCGAAAGCGUGGGUAGCAAACAGGACUAGAUACCCGAGUAGUC
rnacentral:rRNA from 1 species